rnacentral:rRNA from 1 species
GACGAACGCUGGCGGCGUGCUUAACACAUGCAAGUCGAACGGAAAGGCCCUGCUUUUGUGGGGUGCUCGAGUGGCGAACGGGUGAGUAACACGUGAGUAACCUGCCCUUGACUUUGGGAUAACUUCAGGAAACUGGGGCUAAUACCAGAUAGGAGCUCCUGCUGCAUGGUGGGGGUUGGACAGUUUCGGCGGUUGGGGAUGGACUCGCGGCUUAUCAGCUUGUUGGUGGGGUAGUGGCUUACCAAGGCUUUGACGGGUAGCCGGCCUGAGAGGGUGACCGGCCACAUUGGGACUGAGAUACGGCCCAGACUCCUACGGGAGGCAGCAGUGGGGAAUAUUGCACAAUGGGCGGAAGCCUGAUGCAGCAACGCCGCGUGCGGGAUGACGGCCUUCGGGUUGUAAACCGCUUUCGCCUGUGACGAAGCGUGAGUGACGGUAAUGGGUAAAGAAGCACCGGCUAACUCCGUG